UGCAAUAAACUGUGUAAAUUUGUACGGUUUUUACUGCUAUUAAUAAUAAUUUUUUUUUUUCCUAAUCUUUUAUCAUAUUAGAUACUAUAUAGUUAUAGGUCUUAACCCACUAACCCCGAGUGUGCAAUCAGUAUAGUAUAAUAUUAUUAUAAUAGUAUAUAAUAUAGGUUUUUAAUGUUUAGUGGAAGGGGGGGAAACCAGAAUGAUUAUUUCCAUAGACGUCACACGCAUCGCUCGUUUAUUUAAUUUAUGCGUUUUCGCAUUAAUCAUCGGACAGUGUCGUGUU